ACGAACGCUGGCGGCGUGCUUAACACAUGCAAGUCGAACGGAAAGGCCCUGCUUUUGUGGGGUGCUCGAGUGGCGAACGGGUGAGUAACACGUGAGUAACCUGCCCUUGACUUUGGGAUAACUUCAGGAAACUGGGGCUAAUACCGGAUAGGAGCUCCUGCUGCAUGGUGGGGGUUGGAAAGUUUCGGCGGUUGGGGAUGGACUCGCGGCUUAUCAGCUUGUUGGUGGGGUAGUGGCUUACCAAGGCUUUGACGGGUAGCCGGCCUGAGAGGGUGACCGGCCACAUUGGGACUGAGAUACGGCCCAGACUCCUACGGGAGGCAGCAGUGGGGAAUAUUGCACAAUGGGCGGAAGCCUGAUGCAGCAACGCCGCGUGCGGGAUGACGGCCUUCGGGUUGUAAACCGCUUUCGCCAGUGACGAAGCGUGAGUGACGGUAAUGGGUAAAGAAGCACCGGCUAACUACGUG
rnacentral:rRNA from 1 species